rnacentral:rRNA from 1 species
AGCAGCCGCGGUAAUUCCAGCUCCAAUAGCGUAUAUUAAAGUUGUUGCAGUUAAAAAGCUCGUAGUUGAAUUUCGGGACUAAUAUGUCGGUCGUACUUUGUACGUACUAACAUUAUUGGUUUCUUCCUUCUGACGAACCACGAUGUCAUUAAUUUGGUGUCGCGGGAAAUCAGGACUGUUACUUUGAAAAAUUAGAGUGUUUAAAGCAAGCUCGCGCUUGAAUACAUUAGCAUGGAAUAAUGAAAUAGGACGUUUGAUUCUAUUUUGUUGGUUUCUAGGAUCGACGUAAUGAUUAAUAGGGAUAGUUGGGGGCAUUAGUAUUCAAUUGUCAGAGGUGAAAUUCUUGGAUUUAUUGAAGACUAACUACUGCGAAAGCAUUUUGCCAAGGAUGUUUUCAUUAAUACAAGAACGAAAGUUAGGGGAGUCGAAGACGAUCAGAUACCGUCGUA